UCGUCUGCUUGGUAUGUUUUGUUGAGCACGUGUUCAUGUUCAUUUAUUGAGUUGCGUUUCUCGUAAAAAUUGUGUGUGAAGUGCUUCGGAAAGCCAUUUGGUGUGGGAAGAUAAAAAAAAUUAAUAUCUGAUUUCCGGUACAAAACAAUGGUGAAAAAUGAGAUUUAAUGAUUUUAGAUGGGGUAAACCUUGUCCUAUUGCUCAUACCACAUAUUAUUUCCCGAGUUUAGACUUUCAAUGUUUGAUCAUGCCAAAUGAUGAUGGUUCUAGGACAGAAGGACAGCUGUUACCUACAACAAGUUAGUUUACUGUUAGGAAAUGGAGUAAAUACAGUGUUAACUGUUAAGUAACAGACAUUAAGUCAUUAACCCUACCCAGAGAUAAGUUGGCCUUAAUAUUUUGGGUUCUGGAAUACUCAUUCUCGCCCGGAUGUUUGUUCGGAUUUGGCUUAUUUAAUAUCCGAAACAAAUUGAGUUGGCUUUUGUUCCGGUU